rnacentral:lncRNA from 1 species
AUGGGAGGUACUCCGAAAUGAGAAAGAAAUCUAUUUAACCAAAAAGAAGUGUUCAACAAUAGAGGGGUGCCUUUAACGAGGGUAGUAAGGGGUUAUUUUCUUGCAACUUGUUUUGCCAUUUCUAUUUCACGUGCAGCUGUGAAAAAGGUUUGUUAUUCAACGUGUUUCAUGAAAUCGGUAAAAAGAUCAACGUGCAAGACAUUUUAAAUUGUUCGUUCAUCGUGAAAUGACAAAUUUAUUUUGCGUUCUUCCAUGCAGAUACCCCCCUUUUACGCCCCUCUUUAAACAUGUAGAGCUCUAGUCUGGUGCAUUAAAUAAUUGUGAAACAGUAUGUUCCUUAAAUAUAUAAUAACUAAUUCUAUAAGUACCAAUUUUAAAAUAAGUUUGAUGAAACUCUAAUACGAAAUACAGUCCUGGUAUAUCAUAUUACAUGUACUUCUUAAUGUGUUAUAAAAUUAUACAAUUUCAGAGAGAUUUUAAG